CAGAAAGUAGUUUUAUGAAAAAUGCCAGCUUUGGGAGUUGGUGAGGA
rnacentral:tRNA from 1 species